CUAGGGGAGACCAAAGAGAAUAAAACAGUACCUCUGCCCUCAGCAUCUUCCCAUCUACUGUGAGAUUCAGAUAACCAGCCACAUUACAGAGACUAACCACUGACACAAAGUUGACAGCAGUGACAACUGGAUAUCCCUGUAUGGUUCAGUCUGAAAAUCAGAGUAUAAGCCAUGGCAGACAUGAGAAUGCCAAUUGGAUAAUCCUUCAAGAAAAGAACCUGCCCAAUUGCUAUGAGUAAGGACAUCUGCCAGCUGCCAGCUGUUAUCUCCCUCAGGGUCUACUUUGGUUUUUAAAGCUAAGGUCAAACUCUUCUUGGAGAAACCUCCUUGGCCAAUGUCUAAGCAAAACAGUGGUAACUGAUUGCAUGCUCUUCUUAGAGUAGCUCCCCGCUAGCAACUGAAACAAAUAGAGGGACAAGGGCUCUCCCAAAGGGAAGUCUUUGCUCUGGUAUGCCUUUUGGGACACAGAGACUUGGGGUCAAGUUGCCAUUGUGGUCUGAUGCAGGAUAACUUCCUGACCUGCAGGGGAAGUUAUGGAGAUGUUAAUAAAACAUGGCAUUCUUAGGGACAAAAUAGCUGGGAACCAACAGAGGUGUAUGUAUUAUGAUCUCUUGUGAUUUUGGGGUAUUUUCUAAUGACCUUAAAAAAACUUGAUUUCUAGUUUUAUUCCAUAUUUUGUGUGAUUUUUAUAUUUUUUUAUUAUUUUUUUAUUUUUAUCUUUUGAAAUUUAUUGAGACUUGCUUUAUGGCCUAGCAUGCAGUCCAUCUUGAUCAAUGUUCCAGGUGCUCCUGUAAAGAAUCCAUAGUUUAUAGUUGUUGAAUUUUGUUUACUACCCAAGUCAAUUUGAUCAACUUGGUUAAUCAUAUUGUUUAAAUUUGCUGUAUUCUUGUUGAUAUUUUUAUCUGUUUGGUCUAUCAGGUACUGAGAGAGAGUAUUAAAAUCCCCAAUUAUUUUAACCAAAUACCUGCCCACUGAUGUCUGUAGCAGCUUUAUUAAAAAUUUCCAAAACUUUGAACCAAUCAAGAUGUCCCUCAGUAGGUGAAUUAAUAAAUUGUGGUACAUCUAGAUAAUGGAAUAUUAUUCAAUGCUAAAAAGAAAUGAGCUAUUGAGCCAUAAAAAGACAUGAAGGAAACUUAAAUGUAUGUUACUAAGUGAAAAAAGCCAAUCUGAAAAGGCUAUUUACUGUAUGAUCCCAAUUAUAUGACAUUCUGGGAAAGGCAAAAUAAUGAAGGCAGUAAAAAACAAUGGAGCAGUGUUUUCUAGGAGUUAGAGGGGAGGGAGGGAUGAAUGGGCAGAGCACAGAUGAUUUUGUGGACAGCAAGACUAUCCUGUAGGAUAUGGUAAUGGUGGAUACGUGCCAUUAUACAUUUGUCCAAACCUGCAGAACCAAGAGUGAAUCCUCAGCUAGGUUAAUUAUAGACUUUGGGUGAUAAUGAUGCAUUCAUUAAUUAAGGUUUAUUGAUUAUAACAAAUGUAUCACUUGGGGUGAGAGGAAUGUUGAUAAUGAAUGUGUUAUGAAUGUGUGGGGCAAGAGGGUUAUUGGAAAUCUCUGUGCCUUCCCUUCAAUUUUGCUGUAAAUCUAAAACUACUCUAAGAACUAACAUCUAUUUUAAAAAGUCAAGGGAAGGAGAGUUGACUGGGAAGGGGUUUUAGAGGAGCUUCUGUGGUACAAAUAGUGUUAUUUUUUUUUUUAACUGCCUGUGUUCACUGUGUGUGAAUCCAACUGUAUGGUCAUGAAAACAAUUUCCAAUUAUGACUGGAAAAGAAAAUCUGUCUCUCUUUUUAGCUCUGUCAUUUACUUUUUAUAUUUUGAUUUACUUUUAUAUUACUUUUACUUUUUAUAUUAUGAUUUCUAUGUUGUCCUUCUGAAUUUACCCUUUUAUCUUUAUGAAAUGUCCCUCUUUAUCUAGGAACAAUUUUUGCCCUAAAUACUACUUUUCUGAUAUCAACAUAACAUCUCCAGCUACCUUUUGGUUACUGUUUCCAUGAUAUGUAUAUUUUACCUUUGUAUUUGCAUCUUUGUAAAUAGCAUGUAAUUGUGUCUUGUUUGUAUAAUUCAUUUGUAAUUUAAGUACAUCAUGGUCAUUAAAUUUGGGCUGUAUGAUACCAAUUCUUUAAAAUGCAUUGAGGUCCAACAUGUGAUAAAUUUUCAUAAAUGCUUCCUGUAUAUUUGAAUGUUAUAUGUUGUCCAUUUGAACAAUGGACAUUAUUUAUUGUGCUGUUCCAAUAUUCUAUAUCUUUUCCGAUUUUAUUGUUUCUCAAUUUACCAAGUACUAACAGAGGAGUAAAAGUUCCUACUAUAAAUGUGGACUUAACAGUUUCUCUUCGUAGAUCUGUCAGUUUCUACUUCAUAUAGUUUGAGGCUGAUUGUGUUAUUAACUGCAUACAAAUUUAGAAUUGUGGU